rnacentral:rRNA from 2 species
UCUGGCAUCCCUAGAGAUAGGGCGUUCCCCUUCGGGGGACAGGAUGACAGGUGGUGCAUGGUUGUCGUCAGCUCGUGUCGUGAGAUGUUGGGUUAAGUCCCGCAACGAGCGCAACCCUUGAUCUUAGUUGCCAGCAUUCAGUUGGGCACUCUAAGGUGACUGCCGGUGACAAACCGGAGGAAGGUGGGGAUGACGUCAAAUCAUCAUGCCCCUUAUGACCUGGGCUACACACGUGCUACAAUGGAUGGUACAAAGGGCUGCAAGACCGCGAGGUUAAGCGAAUCCCAUAAAACCAUUCUCAGUUCGGAUUGCAGGCUGCAACUCGCCUGCAUGAAGCCGGAAUCGCUAGUAAUCGCGGAUCAGCAUGCCGCGGUGAAUACGUUCCCGGGCCUGUAAACACACCGA